AUAAUUUGACACACCUUUUGAACCACCUCCAAUCUAAACCAUCCAACAACAAUAGUUAAGAAAUCAGCAAGAAAACAACCUAACAGAUAUGCACCAACAAGCCGUCGGGAAAUGAUGUAUCAAGGUUACCGCAAUAGCAGUUUGGAACUGACUUCCGACUAAAUUGCUUCGGCCAAACUUUCUAACCAAAACCUGCAAUGUACAAAAACAAUUUUAGACAUUCACAUUUCAAAAGAGCAAAACCAUAUAAAAGUCUUUCCUAACAAAACUAACAAGGAGUUUUCUCUACCCCUCAACUCUAACAGCUCAUAACAACCCUAAGUGUAACAGAAAGGAAACAAAAGGGAAACAUAUGGAUAAUGGAAAACCACCUGCAACAUCGCAGCCAGCGGUACAACCAUCCUGC
rnacentral:lncRNA from 1 species